GGACCCCAGCACGGAGGAGCAACUGCAGACUUCAGCAGACUCAUUCAGAAAAUUCACCCAAACAAGAAGCUGGAAUUCGUGAGGGUCAAGGAACAGCAGGGGAAGAAGAGGAGAAGAAAAAACAGAAGAGAGGUGGAAGAGGCCAAAUAAAACAAAAAAAGAAGACCAUACCACAAAAGGUUACUAAGGCCAAAAUUCCUAGAGCAAAGAAGAAAUAUGUGACAAGAGUGUGUGGCCUUGCAACUUUUGAAAUUGAUCUUAAAGAAGCACA
rnacentral:lncRNA from 1 species